AGGAGUGGAGCCUGCGGCUUAAUUUGACUCAACACGGGGAAUCUUACCAGGCCCGGACACCGGAAGGAUUGACAGAUUGAGAGCUCUUUCUUGAUUCGGUGGGUGGUGGUGCAUGGCCGUUCUUAGUUGGUGGAGUGGUUUGUCUGGUUUAUUCCGUUAACGAACGAGACUCUAGCCUGUUAACUAGGCGUUACUUACCGGUAUCUCGAAGGCUCGCGUCUGCCGUACUGCAGCGUCGUGUGCACGUAUGUGUGUCCGUUACGGCGGUGCAUGUGCGUUGUUACUGGCGUGCGCGGGCGGGAGUUCGCGGUUUUUACUACCGGCGUACAAUUGAAUCUUCUUAGAGGGACAGGCGGCUUUUAGCCGCACGAGAUUGAGCAAUAACAGGUCUGUAAUGCCCUUAGAUGUUCUGGGCCG
rnacentral:rRNA from 1 species